UGAGGAAUAUUGGACAAUGGGCGCAAGCCUGAUCCAGCCAUGCCGCGUGCAGGAAGACGGUCCUAUGGAUUGUAAACUGCUUUUAUACAGGAAGAAACACCUCUACGUGUAGAGACUUGACGGUACUGUAUGAAUAAGCAUCGGCUAACUCCGUGCCAGCAGCCGCGGUCAUACGGAGGAUGCAAGCGUUAUCCGGAAUCAUUGGGUUUAAAGGGUCCGUAGGCGGCCAAAUAAGUCAGUGGUGAAAGC
rnacentral:rRNA from 1 species